GUGUGGUAGUGAAAGGAUCGAAAGUUUUCUCUGCGGGAAUCUUCGGUUUUCCAUCAAUUAAGACUACUUUAACAACUCUUUGAGGCUCGUGUAAGAUUGUUCCAAGAGUUCACAAGUCUAUGGGUAGAAUAAUGUGACACAGGUUACAAUAUGUCUUUUAUCCCGUUACUCCUUGCUCUCCACAUCUGCCGUAAGGUAUAGUAUUUGUGGCCAUAUAUUUAAAGAUAGUUAGGUUUGAUCUACACGUUUUGCCAGUUUAUAAUUUCUACGUAAAUUCAGUUGUAAUCCAACACCUAAUACUUGCCAAUAGUGUAACAGCCAGUUCUUGUCAACACGGUAUAACAGAGGAUAAAGUCAAGUAUAACAACAUUUUAUAAUAAUGAUUUUCUAACAAUAAACAAGCAGAAUUCCAUGUACUAUAAAUACAAUUAAUUUAAGGGAGUUAAAUUUGUGAGUGGAAUGGACCAGUUUAAAUGUUGGCUGGUACAGUUUAAAGUCCGCUAUGAAUGGCGUAGUAAGUUUAAAAGGCCGUGGUUAUAUUACUGCUAGUGUUAUGUCGAGGAAUACUUAUUGGAGGUUUGUUUAGAUUAAUAUUGUUUAAUGUCCGUCACAUUAAUGCAGUAGACGUAUUUUUCAGACGUGAUAAGAGGAGUCGUGGCCCUGAUGGAUCACCGCUUUAACUGUUGACUAUUACUUCCAGCUCACCAAUAUUUACUAUUAUGUUGCAUUAGUUAACCCUGACUGACUGACUGACUUAAGCAAUGAUUUUUACCUCCUUGUUGUGGUACUUUACUGAGGGUUCGUCACUGCCAUGUGUACCAUUAUUAUAUCUCUACAUGUGGCAGGUCUGAUAUAUACAUGAAGGUCUGAUAUAUACAUGUGGCAGGUCUGAUAUAUACAUGAGGAAGGUCUGAUAUAUACAUGAGGAAGGUCUGAUAUAUACAUGUGGCAGGUCUGAUAUAUACAUGAGAAAGGUCUGAUAAGGUCUUCCCAUAUUGGUUCAGGCAUCAGAGGCUGGAACAGUGAUGAUAGAUGUGGUUUACAGAGUUGUGGCCAAAACAUGCCUAAUAUAUUUGAGGCUACUGCUUAUUGUUUUUACCUUUUAUCCUUAAUUACCUGUGAUUAUUUUUCCUAACAGGUCGUCUUUGCUGAUCACCUUAAAAUAUCGCCGGUCAGCCGCUUAAACAUGAAGGUAUAAUGUAUGAGAACACUGUUGCCACUAGGACGAGUUAAGAUUUUGUUCAUUUUUUUCCACAGAUGUUCUUAACAUUAUUGUAAGUAUUUUAAGAGGCAACAUUUACUAGAACCUGACCUAACCAACCAAAUAAACCUACCUAUCUUACCUAACUUCCUAGCCAGAGGGCAGACCCCCUGCCAUAUUAAACAGAAAGUACUUAUUUUAAUAUCUGGUACCAAUUAAAGCUACUUUGUUGAAGCAUUAUGGAGUACAGGUAAUUUACAUUUUUUGUGUACACUCGGACCGAAUGGGUCGGUUGUAGACAAACAGCCGACAUGCCGUGACUGCAGAUUUUUUAGUAGUAUUUACAGUAAUUAAUUAAUUCACGUACAAAGAACUCCGACAUCAUUUUAGUCAUAUGAUCAGUUUUUCACUCUUGCCCCACAAUUUCUCUCACCCUUCAUGCCCUGUCCACUACAGGUGAUUUAUGUUCGUAGAGAAAACUAAAAAUAAUUAAAAUAAAAAGCGGUCUACUUAUAAUUAAAGUACAGUACUUACUAUGUGGACUAAACCAGACCUAACUCCUGGUGGCAGUUUCCUCGUAGAUUACCAACAUGAACCAUAAUGUUGACUUAACUCUUGAUUUUCUAAAGGUUUAAUGUUGUUGUUUCCUUUUGGGUUUUUCUUUCUCGUUUUGUUUUAGUUUGUCAUUUUAAUUAUAUUUUCAACUUUUUACCAUUAAUUAUCUCUGGUGCCAUGUUACAGGUCUUACUCAUUGUUUUCAGGUUUGUUACAGUCUUAAUUAAUGUUUUUUAGGGUUAUGUUACAGGUCUUAAUUAUGUUGUCAUGUAAUCUUAUUUUUGUAUUUACUUUUUUACCGGUUUUUUUCAUAUUGCAAUAUUAUUCUUUCCAAUCAUUCAACAGCUUAGUCACUCCACCAUUGAACUGUUGUAUUCAGUUCACACCAUCUUGAUGCGUACAGGUCUACCAAACCGUGUGAAAUUAAUUACAUUUACGAGAUGAAUUAAAUGAAACUGUGACCGGUGCGAUCCAUCUACUAAAUGUAUGAGCGGACUCUGACAAUACGUAUUGCAUCGACUCGUCUUAAACCGUGCGUAAGAGCCGUGCGGAUGUAAUAUGAUCCGCUUGCCCUCCGCUAUAUAACUAAUUAUCCAGUUGUUUGUUGGCUUCUUACCAGGUCAAGUGGUGCACUGUGCUGCUGUAGUUUCAGGAAUGUUUAACAGGCACCCUGCUACUGUGCAUUACCAGCAUGAUUACAGUACUGUAGUCGUCUGAUUCAUUGUUAUAUUUUGUUAUAUUUUGUAGAUGAGUAAACUGCUGUAUUUAGUAUGUAUACAGGCUGCAUUGUACAUUAUUGUAUUAAAUGUAUUUACCACAAUGUAUAGUGUAUUGUAGGACCAUCUUAGCAUGUGUAAGUUGACCUUACUUAAUACAGUAUUGUAGUUUUAUUAUUUGUAGUGUUGACAAUUUGUACCAUUUAAUACUGUAGCAGUAGUUGUGUCGGUGCUUGCCAGUACUUCUCAACAGUAACAGCCGUGACCGACCGCCCAAGCAGCUAACGAGCCGAUCAAUGGUGAAGAGGAUAAAGGUAAACCAGGUGCUGUAUGUCUGGAGCUUGUCUGUGUGGUAAAUGUUAUGUUUUGGUUGGUGUACAGUACAGGUUAUGUUGUGUGACCAAGAGAUUAAGGUCUACAAAUGAAUGGCUGUUGUCUCUUAUGUGGUCUUUAUAUUUUAAAGUUAAAUAAAGUUAUCUAUAAAUAUUUAACAUAAGACCUACAGUACAGGUAUUAAGUUAAUAUUCCAUUACAGAAGAUGACCCCCUGGAUGACUGUGCCCUGCAAGAAACACAGGCAGCCAGGGCUCCCACUACAUCAAUACCUGGAUUAAUCACAAAAUGGUGAUAAGUAAAUGUUUCUUUUUAUAUUAAAAUCUAAAAUCUUGAGAACCCAAAAAGAUGAAAUAAAACAAAUAAUUCACAUUACAACAGCUGUGUACAUAAGGGUCCAGUCAGAAUUUUGGGGGACCUUUUUUAAGGUUUUAAAUUUAUUAUCUACUCAUUUUUGAUGGAUUUUAGCUCGAGAGUGUCUACUAAUCCUAUAGUUUGGCCGCCAUCUUGGAAAAUGAAGGUGAAUAUAUACAUGUACUGCCUGAGGUCUUCUAGACUCAUGGUGACUGUUUCAUCACUGGUUAAGACUGUUUCAUAGCUGAAUGAUUCAUGUCUACGGUCCUUCUUGCUUGGAGUGUGUUUGAACAGAGGGUUCCAAAUCUGAUGCUGGUGUUGGGUUUGGAGCAAUCUUCCAAUAAGGCUGGGAGUUUUAAUAUUUUUUAUUCCAAAGCAGCACUGUCAGGUCAGCCAUCCUUGCCUCUGGCAGCUACAAUGGAACAAUUUAUCUGUUCCCAAGAUAUUGCCAGAUUACAAAAAUGAUUAUCUGUGUAAACCUCCUUGGAUGCCCUGCCACUGAGGCUGCUGUUACCCAUCUGUUGUGUACACUCACCCCACCCACAGUUUCCUUAUGGCCAGAGGACCACAGCCCUAUUGUGAUGACUGCCUGAUAGUGUCCGUCAUGGGGACUUGAGACAUUUUCUGACCAAGUGCUGACAGGAGGAUGGUUCCUUCUCCAUCUCAAAGGUUCUCAGUGAUGCUGUAUCCUGAGAUGCUGAACCAUAGACUCAACCUUACCAGAAGCAGAAACCUCGCCACCUCGAUCCUGCACCCAUGAAGGAGGCAUUGGUUCCUGUCUCUUCACUGUCCUGUCUCCAAGA
rnacentral:lncRNA from 1 species